rnacentral:rRNA from 1 species
CUCCUACGGGAGGCAGCAGUGAGGAAUAUUGGUCAAUGGACGUAAGUCUGAACCAGCCAAGUCGCGUGAGGGAAGACUGCCCUAUGGGUUGUAAACCUCUUUUAUAAGGGAAGAAUAAGUUCUACGUGUAGAAUGAUGCCUGUACCUUAUGAAUAAGCAUCGGCUAACUCCGUGCCAGCAGCCGCGGUAAUACGGAGGAUGCGAGCGUUAUCCGGAUUUAUUGGGUUUAAAGGGUGCGUAGGCGGUUUAUUAAGUUAGUGGUUAAAUAUUUGAGCUAAACUCAAUUGUGCCAUUAAUACUGGUAAACUGGAGUACAGACGAGGUAGGCGGAAUAAGUUAAGUAGCGGUGAAAUGCAUAGAUAUAACUUAGAACUCCGAUAGCGAAGGCAGCUUACCAGACUGUAACUGACGCUGAUGCACGAGAGCGUGGGUAGCGAACAGGAUUAGAUACCCUGGUAGUCCACGCCGUAAACGAUGCUCACUGGUUCUGUGCGAUAUAUUGUACGGGAUUAAGCGAAAGUAUUAAGUGAGCCACCUGGGGAGUACGUCGGCAACGAUGAAACUCAAAGGAAUUGACGGGGGCCCGCACAAGCGGAGGAACAUGUGGUUUAAUUCGAUGAUACGCGAGGAACCUUACCUGGGUUUAAAUGGGAAAUGCCGUAUUUGGAAACAGAUAUUCUCUUCGGAGCGUUUUUCAAGGUGCUGCAUGGUUGUCGUCAGCUCGUGCCGUGAGGUGUCGGGUUAAGUCCCAUAACGAGCGCAACCCUUACCGUUAGUUGCUAGCAUGUAAUGAUGAGCACUCUAACGGGACUGCCACCGUAAGGUGAGAGGAAGGCGGGGAUGACGUCAAAUCAGCACGGCCCUUACACCCAGGGCUACACACGUGUUACAAUGGCCGGUACAGAGGGCCGCUACCAGGUGACUGGAUGCCAAUCUCAAAAGCCGGUCGUAGUUCGGAUUGGAGUCUGUAACCCGACUCCAUGAAGUUGGAUUCGCUAGUAAUCGCGCAUCAGCCAUGGCGCGGUGAAUACGUUCCCGGGCCUUGUACACACCGC